UACGAAGGGUGCAAGCGUUACUCGGAAUUACUGGGCGUAAAGCGUGCGUAGGUGGUUUGUUAAGUCUGUCGUGAAAUCCCCGGGCUCAACCUGGGAAUGGCGAUGGAUACUGGCAAGCUAGAGUGAGGUAGAGGAGAGUGGAAUUCCCGGUGUAGCAGUGAAAUGCGUAGAGAUCGGGAGGAACAUCAGUUGCGAAGGCGGUCUGCUGGGCCGUUGCUGACGCUGAGGCGCGACAGCGUGGGGAGCAAACAGG
rnacentral:rRNA from 1 species